GGCGUAAAGGGCUCCGCAGGCGGUUUUCUUAAGUCUGAUGUGAAAGCCCCCGGCUCAACCGGGGAGGGUCAUUGGAAACUGGGGAACUUGAGUGCAGAAGAGGAGAGUGGAAUUCCACGUGUAGCGGUGAAAUGCGUAGAGAUGUGGAGGAACACCAGUGGCGAAGGCGACUCUCUGGUCUGUAACUGACGCUGAGGAGCGAAAGCGUGGGGAGCGAACAGGAUUAGAUACCCUGGUAGUCCACGCCGUAAACGAUGAGUGCUAAGUGUUAGGGGGUUUCCGCCCCUUAGUGCUGCAGCUAACGCAUUAAGCACUCCGCCUGGGGAGUACGGUCGCAAGACUGAAACUCAAAGGAAUUGACGGGGGCCCGCACAAGCGGUGGAGCAUGUGGUUUAAUUCGAAGCAACGCGAAGAACCUUACCAGGUCUUGACAUCCUCUGACAAUCCUAGAGAUAGGACGUCCCCUUCGGGGGCAGAGUGACAGGUGGUGCAUGGUUGUCGUCAGCUCGUGUCGUGAGAUGUUGGGUUAAGUCCCGCAACGAGCGCAACCCUUGAUCUUAGUUGCCAGCAUUCAGUUGGGCACUCUAAGGUGACUGCCGGUGACAAACCGGAGGAAGGUGGGGAUGACGUCAAAUCAUCAUGCCCCUUAUGACCUGGGCUACACACGUGCUACAAUGGACAGAACAAAGGGCAGCGAAACCGCGAGGUUAAGCCAAUCCCACAAAUCUGUUCUCAGUUCGGAUCGCAGUCUGCAACUCGACUGCGUGAAGCUGGAAUCGCUAGUAAUCGCGGAUCA
rnacentral:rRNA from 1 species